AUGAAUGUCUUGGCCUGGAACUGUCGAGGAUUGGGGUUGGAUUCGACAGUGGGCGAACUAAGAGACUUGGUAUGGUCUUAGAACCCAGCGGUGGUGUUCUUAUGCGAAACAAAGAAGAAAGCAUGGGCUAUGGAGAAAAUUAAAUGGAGUCUAGGAUUUAAAUGUGGAGUGGCAGUGGACUGUGAAGGACUAAGUGGAGGCCUAGCGUUGUGGUGGAGGGAGAACCCUCCAGGUGACUGUCUGGCCAUGGUGUCAGCAUUUCAUGGAUGCAGAAAUUGUGGUGGAUGGAAGACCCUAUAG
rnacentral:rRNA from 1 species